rnacentral:rRNA from 1 species
UGAGCAAUCUGCCCUUCUCAUCGGAAUAAGCGUUGGAAACGACGUCUAAUGCCGAAUACGACCUCCUUUCGCAUGAUCGGAGGUGGAAAGCUCCGGCGGAGAAGGAUGAGCUCGCGGCCUAUCAGCUAGUUGGUGUGGUAAUGGCCCACCAAGGCGACGACGGGUAGCCGGCCUGAGAGGGUCGACCCGGCCACACGUGGGACUGAGACACCGGCCCAGACCUCCGUACGGGAGCACG